UUACAAUUUCCUUUGGUUUCAAAAGCUUUCUUGGAAAACGUUGACGGAAAACUAGUGCUAAGAGUGCUUUUUGUCUUUAAGGAUAUUGCUCAGCAGGCAUUGAAGUAUCAGCGCGACAUCAAUACACAGAGCGAUCUAUGGGAAUUGGCAGCCAACAACAACAACGAUCAUCGAGCAAAUCGGCCAGCUUUAGCUAGAAAGGAUUUGGCUUACAACAAGAAUGCCUGGAAGAGUAAAACCAAAAGAAACUUUGAUGAGAUCGAUAAGGCCUCCGUCAGCUUCGGCAUACUCAAUCCACUUGUAUAGUUGACUUUUGACUAGACUUGUAUACUCAUCUAUAAUUAACGCAAAUGCGCUUUGUGUCAGGGGAAAAAAGAUACGAUACGAUAUAUAUA